UGGUCCUACGGGACGCAGCAGUAGGGAAUUUUUCACAAUGGGCGAAAGCCUGAUGGAGCAAUGCCGCGUGAAUGAUGAAGGUCUUAUAGAUUGUAAAAUUCUUUUAUUUGGGAAGAAAAACUAAAGUAGGAAAUGACUUUAGUCUGACUGUACCAUUUGAAUAAGUAUCGGCUAACUAUGUGCCAGCAGCCGCGGUAAUACAUAGGAUGCAAGCGUUAUCCGGAUUUACUGGGCGUAAAACGAGCGCAGGCGGGUUAACUAGUUUGGUACGAAAGGCUUUUUCUUAACGAUAGUUUGUAUCAAAA
rnacentral:rRNA from 1 species